rnacentral:rRNA from 1 species
UACGUAGGGUGCGAGCGUUAAUCGGAAUUACUGGGCGUAAAACGGGCGCAGGCGGCUUUGCAAGACAGAUGUGAAAUCCCCGGGCUCAACCUGGGAACUGCAUUUGUGACUGCAAGGCUAGAGUACGGCAGAGGGGGAUGGAAUUCCGCGUGUAGCAGUGAAAUGCGUAGAUAUGCGGAGGAACACCAAUGGCGAAGGCAAUCCCCUGGGCCUGUACUGACGCUCAUGCACGAAAGCGUGGGGAGCAAACAGG